UACGAGAGGCCCAAACGUUAUUCGGAAUUACUGGGCUUAAAGAGUUCGUAGGCGGCGCAGAAAGUAAGGUGUGAAAGCCCUCGGCUCAACCGAGGAAUUGCGCUCUAAACUACUGUGCUUGAGGAACCUAGAGGUGAGCAGAACAGAUGGUGGAGCGGUGAAAUGCGUUGAUAUCAUCUGGAAUACCGGAGGCGAAGGCGGCUCACUGGGGGUUUUCUGACGCUGAGGAACGAAAGCCAGGGUAGCGAACGGG
rnacentral:rRNA from 1 species